rnacentral:rRNA from 1 species
UACGGGGGGAGCAAGCGUUGUUCGGAUUUACUGGGCGUAAAGGGCGCGUAGGCGGUCAGCACAAGUCAGUUGUGAAAUCUCCGGGCUUAACCCGGAAAGGUCAACUGAUACUGUGCGACUAGAGUGCAGAAGGGGCAACUGGAAUUCUCGGUGUAGCGGUGAAAUGCGUAGAUAUCGAGAGGAACACCUGCGGCGAAGGCGGGUUGCUGGGCUGACACUGACGCUGAGGCGCGAAAGCCAGGGGAGCGAACGGG